UACGGGGGGAGCAAGCGUUGUUCGGAAUCACUGGGCGUAAAGGGAGUCUAGGCGGUUUGGUAAGUGGGAUGUGAAAUCCCCGGGCUCACCCCGGGACCUGCAUCCCAAACUGCUGAGCUUGAGUACAGGAGAGGGUGGGGGAAUUCCAGGUGUAGCGGUGAAAUGCGUAGAUAUCUGGAGGAACACCGGUGGCGAAGGCAGGUCUCUGGGCCGAUACUGACGCUGAGGAGCGAAAGCGUGGGGAGCGAACAGG
rnacentral:rRNA from 1 species